GGUUGCAAUCAUACCAGCACUAAUGCACCGGAUCCCAUCAGAACUCCGCAGUUAAGCGUGCUUGGGCGAGAGUAGUACUAGGAUGGGUGACCCCCUGGGAAGUCCUCGUGUUGCAACCC
rnacentral:rRNA from 1 species